rnacentral:rRNA from 1 species
AUGGCCUGCGCCUCCCCUCUGAUCGCGCUCCUUGUUGUCCUGGGUUGCGCUGCGGCGGCCUCUGCGGCAACGUUCACCGUCGGAGACGGGCAAGGGUGGACGACCGGCGCCAACUACGCCACCUGGGCCAGCGGCAAGACCUUCGCAGUUGGAGACAAGCUCGUGUUCAACUACGCCAGCCAGGCCCACACAGUGACCGAAGUCACCAAGAGCGAGUACGACGCCUGCUCCAGCAACACCAACGGUGACAACAGCGGCGCCACCACCAUGACCCUCAAAGCCGGCGCGAACUACUACAUCUGCACCAUCGGCACCCACUGCGCCGCCGGCAUGAAGCUCGCCGUCACAGCCGGCGACUCCAGCCCCGGUACCCCCGCGGCCGGGACGCCGCCUACCAACCCGUCCGGGUCCGGCGGCUACCGCAUGGAGGUCGGCCCCAUUCUCGCGGCCACCGCUGGCGUCCUCCUCAAGCUCGCCGUCUUCUGA